AAGUCGUAACAAGGUUUCCGUAGGUGAACCUGCGGAAGGAUCAUUAACACGAAUUUUAUCCAAUACCAAACCAAACGUGAACUUUUCCCCUCCCUAUUCAAAUGUUAGAAAUAAUAUUUGUUUAGGCUAACCUUUUUUUACUUCUAAUAAUUUAAUCUAACACUUCGGUGUUUUAUUAAUAUUAUUAUUAGUUCAAACCCCUUAAACUUUAACUUAAGUUGUGUUUUCUCUUUAUUGAGACUCAACUUACUAAACUAAAAACUAUUCUUUGAUUAAAUUUGAAGAAUACUUUUUUCGAUUACGAAAAAAACAAAAGAACAACUCUUAACAAUGGAUAUCUUGGUUCUC
rnacentral:misc_RNA from 1 species